rnacentral:rRNA from 1 species
GAUGAACGCUAGCGACAGGCUUAACACAUGCAAGUCGAGGGGCAACAUGAUUUUAGCUUGCUAAAAUUGAUGGCGACCGGCGCACGGGUGAGUAACGCGUAUGUAACUUGCCUACCAGAGGGGGAUAGCCCGGCGAAAGUCGGAUUAAUACCGCAUAAAACAGGGGUUCCGCAUGGAAAUAUUUGUUAAAGGGUUUCCGCUGGUAGAUAGGCAUGCGUUCCAUUAGAUAGUUGGUGAGGUAACGGCUCACCAAGUCGACGAUGGAUAGGGGUUCUGAGAGGAAGGUCCCCCACAUUGGUACUGAGACACGGACCAAACUCCUACGGGAGGCAGCAGUGAGGAAUAUUGGUCAAUGGGCGAGAGCCUGAACCAGCCAAGUCGCGUGAAGGAUGAAGGAUCUAUGGUUUGUAAACUUCUUUUAUACGGGAAUAAAGUGUGGUACGUGUACCAUUUUGUAUGUACCGUAUGAAUAAGCAUCAGCUAACUCCGUGCCAGCCGCCGCGGUAAGAC